rnacentral:rRNA from 1 species
ACGCGAGGAACCUUACCAGGUCUUGACAUCCCAUUGACCGCUAUGGAGACAUAGCUUUCCCUUCGGGGACAGUGGUGACAGGUGGUGCAUGGUUGUCGUCAGCUCGUGUCGUGAGAUGUUGGGUUAAGUCCCGCAACGAGCGCAACCCUUGUUCUUAGUUGCCAUCAUUUAGUUGGGCACUCUAAGGAGACUGCCGGUGACAAACCGGAGGAAGGUGGGGAUGACGUCAAAUCAUCAUGCCCCUUAUGACCUGGGCUACACACGUGCUACAAUGGACGGUACAAACGGUUGCCAACCCGCGAGGGGGAGCUAAUCCGAUAAAACCGUUCUCAGUUCGGAUUGUAGGCUGCAACUCGCCUACAUGAAGCCGGAAUCGCUAGUAAUCGCGGAUCAGCAUGCCGCGGUGAAUACGUUCCCGGGCCUUGCACACACCGCCCGU